rnacentral:rRNA from 1 species
GACGAACGCUGGCGGCGUGCCUAAUACAUGCAAGUCGAACGCUUCUUUCCUCCCGAGUGCUUGCACUCAAUUGGAAAGAGGAGUGGCGGACGGGUGAGUAACACGUGUGUAACCUACCCAUCAGAGGGGGAUAACACUUGGAAACAGGUGCUAAUACCGCAUAACAGUUUAUGCCGCAUGGCAUAAGAGUGAAAGGCGCUUUCGGGUGUCGCUGAUGGAUGGACCCGCGGUGCAUUAGCUAGUUGGUGAGGUAACGGCUCACCAAGGCCACGAUGCAUAGCCGACCUGAGAGGGUGAUCGGCCACACUGGGACUGAGACACGGCCCAGACUCCUACGGGAGGCAGCAGUAGGGAAUCUUCGGCAAUGGACGAAAGUCUGACCGAGCAACGCUGCGUGAGUGAAGAAGGUGUUCGGAUCGUAAAACUCUGUUGUUAGAGAAGAACAAGGACGUUAGUAACUGAACGUCCCCUGACGGUAUCUAACCAGAAAGCCACGGCUAACUACGUG